GGUCCCAUGGUGUAAUGGUUAGCACUCUGGACUUUGGAUCCAGCAAUCAGAGUUCACAUCUCUGUGGGACCU